CUUCGACGGUUCGACUUCGAGAAAUCGAGACGGCUCCUACCUGGCGGCGGCUGGCCGCCGCCUCCUCCUCCUACCGCCCCGCCUUUUCCUCCCUCUCCGGCCGCCUCCUCCCUCUCCACCCGUUUCAUGGAGCCGUCGCCUCCUCCCUUCUCUUCCGCCGCCUCCGAGCCGGCGCUGCUCCAAGAAGAUGAGCAGCCGCAGCCUCGCCCUCCUUCCGCCGAGCUUCCCUUCGUCCAAUCCCGUCCGAAGGGCACCGCCUCGUGGAGCCACCGCUGCCAUCCAUGGAUGCCGUCGAGGAGGAGAAGAUGAAUGUGGAGCAAUCAGGUGGCUCCCGUCGACGAACACCAGAUCACACCUGAGGGAUGUGUUCAGCUCCCCCAAAAAUCCAAAAAAAAAGAUCAAGGAAAGAAGAGAAAGCGAAGAAUCUGGAAGAGAAGAGGAGGAAGAAACAGCAGGAGAAGAGGAGAAAGUUGGGAGAUAAGAGAAGACAUAACAAGGAGAAGGAAACAAAGUUGCAGCAAAAGAAGAACAAGGAUGGCACUUCUCCUUCAGCUAUGCAUUGCAACAAGGAAGUUAGAUCCCCAAUAUGUAGGUCUCCAGGGGUGAAUAUGAUGAGAACAUUAAAAAGAAGAUCUUCAGAGGCAUUACGUAAAAGAUCCAACAAAAGUCCCAACUCUCAUAUAUUAUAGUAAUAGAAACUCCCUAAAGAUGUUGUGCAGAUAAUCUUUGGUUGUUAAAUACAUUCAACUAUUGUAUAUAUCAAAUUCUCCAAAUAGUUUCAGUUUUGUAUUUCUGCAGUAGAUCAUUUUCUUGUCUAAGCCAAUUUAAUUAUAGCCUUUCAAUCUGCAAUCCCUUUUCAAUGCUUUAAGAUAAUGUGCAUUGGACUUACCUAUUGUGGUUUAAUGAUAUAUUCUUCAUCAGUUGCCAA